rnacentral:rRNA from 1 species
GACGAACGCUGGCGGCGUGCUUAACACAUGCAAGUCGAACGGAAAGGCCCUGAUUUUGUGGGGUGCUCGAGUGGCGAACGGGUGAGUAACACGUGAGUAACCUGCCCUUGACUUUGGGAUAACUUCAGGAAACUGGGGCUAAUACCGGAUAGGAGCUCCUGCUGCAUGGUGGGGGUUGGAAAGUUGCGGCGGUUGUGGAUGGACGCGCGGCUUAUCAGCUUGUUGGUGGGGUAGUGGCUUACCAAGGCUUUGACGGGUAGCCGGCCUGAGAGGGUGACCGGCCACAUUGGGACUGAGGGACGGCCCAGACGCCAACGGGAGGCAGCAGUGGGGAAUAUUGCACAAUGGGCGGAAGCCUGAGGCAGCGACGCCGCGGGCGGGAUGCCGGCCUUUGGGGUGUAAACCGCAUUCGCCUGUGACGAAGCGGGAGUGACGGUAAUGGGUAAAGAAGCACCGGCUAACUACGUG